GAUGAACGCUAGCGGCAGGCCUAAUACAUGCAAGUCGAACGGUGUCUUCGGACAUAGUGGCGCACGGGUGCGUAACACGUAUGCAACCUACCUUACAUUGGGGGAUAGCCUUUCGAAAGGGAGAUUAAUACCGCAUAAGACAGUAGCUGGGCAUCCAGCAGCUGGUAAAGAUUUAUCGAUGCAAGCUGGGCAUGCGUCCAAUUAGCUAGUUGGUGAGGUAACGGCUCACCAAGGCAAUGAUUGGUAGGGGAACUGAGAGGUCAAUCCCCCACACUGGCACUGAGAUACGGGCCAGACUCCUACGGGAGGCAGCAGUAGGGAAUAUUGGGCAAUGGACGCAAGUCUGACCCAGCCAUGCCGCGUGCAGGAUGAAGGCGUUAUGCGUUGUAAACUGCUUUUAUACAGGAAGAAACGACUCUUGCGAGAGGCAUUGACGGUACUGUAUGAAUAAGCACCGGCUAACUCCGUGCCAGCCGCCGCUGUAAGAC
rnacentral:rRNA from 1 species